rnacentral:rRNA from 1 species
ACGGGUGAGUAACGCGUGGGAACGUGCCCUUCGGUUCGGAAUAACUCAGGGGAACUUGAGCUAAUACCGGAUACGUGCGAGAGCAGAAAGGUUUACUGCCGAAGGAUCGGCCCGCGUCUGAUUAGCUAGUUGGUGAGGUUAUGGCUCACCAAGGCGACGAUCAGUAGCUGGUCUGAGAGGAUGAUCAGCCACACUGGGACUGAGACACGGCCCAGACUCCUACGGGAGGCAGCAGUGGGGAAUAUUGGACAAUGGGGGCAACCCUGAUCCAGCCAUGCCGCGUGAGUGAUGACGGCCUUAGGGUUGUAAAGCUCUUUUCUCCGGGACGAUAAUGACGGUACCGGAGGAAUAAGCCCCGGCUAACUUCGUGCCAGCAGCCGCGGUAAUACGAAGGGGGCUAGCGUUGCUCGGAAUCACUGGGCGUAAAGGGCGCGUAGGCGGCUGAUUUAGUCGAGGGUGAAAGCCCGUGGCUCAACCACGGAAUGGCCUUCGAUACUGAUUGGCUUGAGACCGGAAGAGGACAGCGGAACUGCGAGUGUAGAGGUGAAAUUCGUAGA